UACGUAGGGGGCUAGCGUUGUCCGGAUUUAUUGGGCGUAAAGAGCUCGUAGGCGGUCUGUCGCGUCUGGCGUGAAAACUCGGGGCUUAACUCCGGGCCUGCAGUGGGUACGGGCUGACUAGAGUGCGGUAGGGGAGACUGGAAUUCCUGGUGUAGCGGUGAAAUGCGCAGAUAUCAGGAGGAACACCGGUGGCGAAGGCGGGUCUCUGGGCCGUAACUGACGCUGAGGAGCGAAAGUGUGGGGAGCGAACAGG
rnacentral:rRNA from 1 species